CGCAUCUGUGCAUGCAGCAUAUCAAUAAGCGGAGGAAAAGAAACUAACAAGGAUUCCCCUAGUAACGGCGAGUGAAGCGGGAAGAGCUCAAAUUUGAAAUCUUAAAGGGUUUCCCUUUACGAAUUGUAGUUUAAAGAAGUGUUUUCUGUUGAGGUUUUGGUAAAAGUUCUUUGGAAUAGGACAUCAUAGAGGGUGAGAAUCCCGUAUUUGACCUUUACUUUCAACUUUGUGAUACACUUUCAAAGAGUCGGAUUGUCUGGGAAUGCAGUCCAAAAUGGGUGGUAAAUUUCAUCUAAAGCUAAAUAUUGGCGAGAGACCGAUAGCGAACAAGUACCGUGAGGGAAAGAUGAAAAGAACUUUGAAAAGAGAGUUAAACAGUACGUGAAAUUGUCAAAAGGGAAGCGUUUGACACCAGUGUUGUUUUUCUGAAAAUCAAUUAAAGAACUGUUUAUGCUAAGUUGUUUAGACUUUAUCAGCUAACUGUUUAGUUUUGAGCUUUUCUUUAAUGCACUUUUCAGUUAACAAGUCAACAUCAAUUUCUUUUGCUGUAAAAAGCUUGAGGAAGGUGGCUUGAGAUUCGUCUUAAGUGUUUAUAGCCUCUUGCCUAUGCAGUUGGAGAGAUUGAGGUCUGCAGCGUAGAUCCUUCGGGGCUAAAUGCAUUUGUGCUAAGUUAUAACAUUUUAUAGACAACUUGUUGACUAUGAUUUGUCUUGUAGCUUACUCGCUUAUGUUAUUUUACCUACGCUUAGGAUGUUGACAGCAGUAUAGACUGU
rnacentral:rRNA from 1 species